rnacentral:lncRNA from 1 species
AACAAACAAACAAAACAAGUGUUGUAUUUUCUUUUCAAUCUGGAAACGUGAGAUCAAAAACAGCAAGAACUAGAUCUGGAAGUAGAAGAGUUGUUUCUAAGAACUGGUCAAGAAGGAGAAGGGACUAAGGCUAGAAGGCAGAUGGAUGCAUAAAUGCUGUAUGUGUGAAAAGAGAAGAAAAGGAGGAGUAUGCAGCUCGGACUGCCAACAAACAGAGUCUCAUGGAGCCAAAGCUGACAUCAAGGUUGCCACAUAGAUGACAUGACACUGAAUUCGGGAUUCUCCCAAGUUCUGGGAAUAAGGAAAUUAUUUUUGAAGGAUAGUUGAAAUGAACACAAAGUAGAAGAAAAAAUUUAGAAGGAAACCACAAGUGAGUAACAGUGAUGAUGACAAGGGAAUGAACAAAGAGUUAGGAACUAAGAAGGCCUUGGCUUGCAGACUUUUACAAGAGCCUGGUACAAGAAGACUGGUGUGUGAAGAGCAGUGCUGGUCUUCCUUAGGGACCAGACAGGAGGCGAGAGGCUUAAGUUGCUGUGUGGGAUUUAGAUAACAGAAAAGGAAAAAUUUUCAGACAGUGAGGUUUGAUAGACACUGGGAUGUGUAACUGGGGAAGCUUGUGGAAUUUCCUUCUCUCAACAUCUUUUUAAAAACCGACAGCAUCUCAUCUGCUUAAAGGAUGGACUCUAUUUGACCUCUAAAGUGUCUACUGAACCCAGAGGGUGAACCUCAUCUCCCAAAGGAAAAGAGAGCUUGUGUGAUCCCGAGGAGCUUGAAUGAUGAAAAUAUCAUGAACAUUUUUCAUGCUUAAUUUGAUUUCCACAUGGUAUAUACAUAAAUCAUAACUGCUAUAGCGAGUCUUUUGGUCUAAUGUUUUUGUUGUAAGGUCUGGAGAUUAGAGUUUAAGUAAAAGUCUUCUAGGGAGAGAAGGCAGAACUCUUUUAUCUGACUUUUUGAGCUUAUUUGUAGGAGAGCAUAAUAAGCAAGGUGAAAAGGUUAUUUCUGACUUUGAUUUCACUUCCCAUGCUAAAUUUAAAAAUUACCAUCUUUUUUGUUGGCUUUGGUAUUUUAAAGGCAAAUUGAGAGAUUAAUUUAGUGCAAGCGUUUCUCACAGUAUUUUUGGCCAGACCAGAAUUCCAAGUUGGACCAGGUUCUCUGUACUUAAUUUCCUCUCAGGAAGUUUACCUCCAAAAGUCCUAAUGUAAGGUCAAACUUUGGGCUGCCGGAAGUGUUAAUGUCCUUUACUGUCUAGGCAUCCAGGCGACCUUCAAUGAGAUAUUCUACUUUGUGGACACUGGUAAGGGUUCAAAUGCUUUCAAAUGACUUAGCUGCUUCCUUUGUUUGUUUGUUUUCUUUAAUGAGCUGUGAUCUCUGUACUCAGCCAUCCAAAACUCAGAAAUUAAAAUUUCCAUAAGUAAGAGGUGUUCUAUUUUCUCUGGAUUCAGUUAUGAGUUUAGAUAUCUAAUUACAGGUGAUGUAGACUUGUCUUUCUUCCGAAGUACCAAAGUGCACUUCGUGACAAAAAGGACGUUAGUGUCAGAAAUUAUUGUCUACUUUAAGCAAACAGUUCUAGAGUACCCUAAACAGGAUCUCUCUCAGAUUCUAAGUAACCGGAGGACAUUUAAAGGUUAAAGCACAUUGUCACAUAACUGUUCACAACAGUCUAAGUGCUUAUGAUUCCAAUAAAAAUAUUGUAAAUGUUAUGGACUUGUAGAUGAGAAAUGGAAUUUUUUAAGAGGUUGUGAUUUACUUAAGGUCUCAAGACUAGAAACUGUAAAAUACCUGGGACACGUAGGCCCUUCUCACCUAUCUAUGUUCUAUUCCUUUUUGAUAUGACUUUGCUUAAAAUUUAAUUGCAGCUAGCUUCAAAUGGUAUAGUGUAAUUCAUUAGAAGAACUCUUGGAAUACUUUUGAUUUCAGAGCCUGGAUCUUUCCCUCUGUAUAAUGCUGUGAUCUUUGUAAGAUCUGUUAUGUUUUUCAUCAUUGAUGAGAUCUUUGCCUUAGAUGUCAAAGUCAAAUUAGAUACAAGGGACUGAAGUCACUAUCACUAAAUAGAAAGUUAUGCUGAAUGUUGCUCAGUCACACAAAGUAAAAACACCAGAAGGUUCCACCAGCGUAUUCUGAUAUUUCACAUGGUAAGUCAUACACAUCUCUCAUAGUGUACUCCCAGUGAGAUGAUGGGACAUUCUAAUCCUUUCUAGCUACUAAGGAUUAAACAGCAUUAAACAGUACAAAACACAUCUUAAUAUUGCAUUCAUUUCUGACAAAAUGUUGAAUGCAUCUUCUAUAAUUCCUGGCACAUGGUUGUGGGAGUCAUGGUUGUGGGGGUACGGUGGCUUUAUUUCCUUCCCUAACAGUUCGGAAGUUUGUUUAAUACUGACUCAGAGGAAGCGUUCUAGCUGAGUCCUCACAUGGCCCUGUUUACAGCUCCGGAGUGUACAUAAUAGAUAAAGAACUGACUUCCACAUACCCUUGCACUUCCUGGGUGUGUGGGCGAGUGUGCUUGAGCCUGUGAAAUGAGGUUGUGCAAUCUCCUGCUUGGGGCAUCAGGUUGCAGUCACCCCACAUCUCUUAAAUAUUCCUCUGAGGGAGCUUGUUUCACAAACUGAACACCAGUGUAUUUAAGAGAAGCUCUAGUAAUGAAUAAUUAACAUGGUCAAAACUGAGGUGGAGAUUGUAAAAAAAACAGUGGGAAACAGCUGUAAAUGACACAGAUAAACACUUUUCUUUCGGCAGGAUCUCACUGUUUUGAUUGUAACUGUAGCUGACAUUUAUACAUAGCCAGUCUGGGGUAAGAACUUUUGUUACACCAGCAUCACUGUCCUUAACUCUUGUAGCCUUUAUGGGUAAAUAUAGCCAUUGCACGUUUAGACUGGAGAUCAGAGAAUUAAAAAAAAAUGUGUUCUGAAUUACACUGAUAGUCUGAAAGUAGCUGAUGGAGUAACGAGAAGAACCAAGAACUGUUUGUCUUUUAAAGAUAAAUGAGACCCUUCCUACCUAUCUGUGUUUUAUUUCUCUUUUGAUAUGACUUUGCUCAAAACUUAAGUGCAGUUGGUUUCAAGAGGAACAGUGUAUUUCAAUUAGAAGGACUCCCUGGAUUUAUGAAGGUUCAGACUAAGGUAUUUGGAGGAUGGUGGGCUGAAAGUUUCAGGGAAGAAAUACUACACAUACACCAGUCUCUCAGGCCUGAAGAAAGGAAAUGUAUACCUGUUUGUCUAUGAAAUAUCUCUUGAACAUGGUACUGGAGUGAUAACAUCCAUCCCACACAAAUAUCCAGUAGUAAACAUUCAGAAACAGAUUCUCUUUUUAACCAAUGCUUUGCAUCAAAGUUAGGCAUGUUCAUUAAAUUAAAGAAUUGUUUAUAAAGCUUACUUUUAAAGGCAUAUCACCCUUCUCCUUUGUUUCCUGAAUUAUGAGGCUUGCUGAAUCAUCUGCAGAA